UACAGAGGGGGCAAGCGUUAUUCGGAAUUAUUGGGCGUAAAGGGCGCGUAGGCGGCCUGGCAAGUGGAUGGUGAAAUCCCUCGGCUUAACCGAGGAACUGCCAUCCAGACUGCUUGGCUUGAGACCAGGAGAGGUGAGUGGAAUUCCCAGUGUAGCGGUGAAAUGCGUAGAUAUUGGGAGGAACACCAGUGGCGAAGGCGGCUCACUGGACCGGUACUGACGCUGAGGCGCGAAAGCGUGGGGAGCAAACGGG
rnacentral:rRNA from 1 species